CCUUGGACUCAGUGUUUUGGGUACGUCAGCCGGGCUCCUGGGGAGUCCUGCUUCUCCGCGCCUCAGACAGUCCUCGUUAAAAUGCCUGCACCCCGGCCUUAAAGGCCUGGACGGAAACGGACGCUGAGGUUUGAAACCCCAGGCUCUAUGGGAGAUGCCUAGUGCAAAGGCCUGGAGCGCCUACCUGGAGGAAGAGGGUAUCCGGUGGCUCUGCAAAUACCUGAAGAACGCGCAGGAGACACUAUCGUAGGUUUCACUGGGCUUCCUGGCAUAGAACUGGAAAAAAAACUGACCACUCCUUCCUGCCUCUGCUGACACCUAGAUGUAGAACAAUGUGCCAACAUCCAAGAGGGAGAAAUUAAUCCAAAAUAAAUGAACCUAGGUUUCUAAAGUUUAAGGCGUUACCUCCAAGAUUGCAUUUGGGAACGUUUUGUUUUGUAUUAAUUCAUAAAUGGAUUUCUGCUUUAAAGACCACAAUUUAAUCUACUUGGUGGAAAUCAACAACAAAAAUGAAGAGAAGAUAUUAGAUCACCAAUAAGUGGAAAUUUACAGAAAUUCUAUUACUGAUCGCUAUGUGCAUUACUUACAGCAGAAUCCACAAGGUAUUUUCAUCAGAUUAAUCUGAAUUAAGCUAGUGGGUAUAUGAUAAAAGUAAAUAAGUGAGCAGAGAAAUAACAGUACAUCCUAAACUGGAACCCAAGUAGAAAAAUGUAUUUAUACGAUCCAAUAAUAUUUGGUAAAAGGUAACGAAAAUAUUUCUCUUAUGAGUCUGAAUAAGUUUGACAAAAAAUCUAUUAAAGUACUCCCAAUGUGUGUUUAUUUUACUCCAAAAUGUAGUGUUGAUCUGUCAGAAAUAAAUGUUGAGAUUUUUGCCUUCACUGCCUCAAAAUCAUGCAAAACAAGAAAGUGAAGUACAGAUGAGACACAAGUGAGUGGGUCUUUGUUAGUACUUAGUGCUUUGUAGCGAGUUAGUAUUUCUUUACAGAAUUUUUAAAAAUUGAAAUAUUCUAAUCCUGAAACAGACAAGGAUCAGAACCUUGCCGUGAGUUUGUCACUGAAUGAAAGAAAAAACCACCACCAUCAGUAUUUCUUGCCAAUGCCAAGGAGAAAUAUUCAGUCUUAACAGUUAUCAGGAGAGGAAGCAUCAAAGUCAUCAGAUGAAAAUUUGUCAGCGUCCCAGUUUCUCCACCAAGGAAUCAUCUGAAUCUGAAAUACUGCAGCAUAGGCCAAAACUCCUUCAUUUCUUAAGCCACGUGUCUCCCUUAACUUGAGGUUACUCAACCUGCGGCAUUAUUGACAUCUGGAGUUGAAUAAUUCUUCAUUGUAGGGGACUGUCCUGUGCAAUGUAUGAUGUACACUGUAGCACCCCCCACCUCUCCCCACUGGAUGCCAGUAGCACUGAUCCUCAAUCCCAGCCCUUCUGUUGUGACAACCAGAAAUGUUGGCAGAUAUUGCCAGAUGUCUUCUGUGGGGCAGAAUGGCUGAGGGUCAUUGCCCUUAAUCGAAAAUAUACAUAGAUGACAAAGAAGGACAUAACACUGUGAUUAAAGGAGGCUUCGUGGA